AGAGAGAGCAAAGCAGCUUCA
rnacentral:snRNA from 1 species